rnacentral:rRNA from 1 species
GAGUUUGAUCAUGGCUCAGGAUGAACGCUGGCGGCAUGCCUAAGACAUGCAAGUCGAACGGAGUAAUCCAAUGAAGCAGAUGUGCUUGCACAAAUGUGGAUUUGAAAUUACUUAGUGGCGAACGGGUGAGUAACACGUGGGUAAUCUACCUAUGAGUUUGGAACAACACAGGGAAACUUGUGCUAAUACCAAAUAACAAAUAGAGAUAAUUUCUUUAUUUUGAAAGGUGCCUUUAAAGCACCGCUUGUAGAUGAGCCUGCGGCGUAUUAGUUAGUUGGUGGGGUAAUGGCCUACCAAGACUUCGAUGCGUAGCCGAACUGAGAGGUUGAUCGGCCACACUGGGACUGAGACACGGCCCAGACUCCUACGGGAGACAGCAGUUAGGAAUAUUCGUCAAUGGGGGAAACCCUGAACGAGCGAUGUCGCGUGAGUGAAGAAGGUCCUUUGGAUCGUAAAACUCUGUUGUAUGGGAAGAACAGCCAAAUUAGGAAAUGAAUUUGGUCUGACGGUACCAUGCCAGAAAGCUCCGGCAAACUAUGUGCCAGCAGCCGCGGUAAUACAUAGGGAGCGAGCGUUAUCCGGAUUUAUUAGGCGUAAAGCGUGUGUAGGCGGUUUAUUAAGUAUGGAAUCAAAGCCUGGAGCUCAACUCCAGUUCGUUUCAUAAACUGAUAGACUUGAGUAUGGUAGAGGCAAAUGGAAUUUCUAGUGUAGCGGUAAAAUGUGUAGAUAUUAGAAGGAACAUCAGUGGCGAAGGCGAUUUGCUGGGCCAUUACUGACGCUGAGACACGAAAGCGUGGGGAGCAAAUAGGAUUAGAUACCCUAGUAGUCCACGCUGUAAACGAUGAGUACUAAGUGUCGGAUUUUCCGGUGCUGAAGUUAACACAUUAAGUACUCCGCCUGAGUAGUACAGUCGCAAGACCGAAACUCAAAGGAAUUGACGGGCACCCGCACAGCGGUG